rnacentral:lncRNA from 1 species
GUGCUCACUGAUAUUACCAGAUACAGCGAGAUGAUCAUUAAUCCAGAAACUCCAGCUUGGUGCAGCCCCACAAAUAUUGGCAACUGCCCACCUUUUCACAUCACACCGAACAAUACUAAAAUAUACAGGAAUGACACAUCCCACUUCCCUUACUCUGCUUAUCACUAUUAUAACAAUACUAAAAUCUACCGGAAUGACAGCUCUCACUUCCCUUACUCUGCUUAUCACUAUUAUUGUGCUCCUGGAACGCCGAGCACUUGGAAAAGCCAUAUAGCACAUGUGAUCCUU